GAAACAAGCUGACCGGAUUCAUCCCAGACAAGAUUGGUGAGAUGAGGUCGCUAGAGAGUCUCGACCUGUCAAACAAUCAACUUUCUGGAGCAAUACCACCGAGCCUUGCUAGUAUAUCAUUUCUUGCUCACUUGGACUUGUCGAACAACAAUUUGUCUGGUUGUAUUCCACUCGGCACUCAGUUGCAAGGAUUCAGUGAGGCUUAUCAGGGAAAUUCAAAGCUACGAGGGCCUCCACUUCCAACAAACUGUCAUAGAGAUGAACCUAGAAAUGCUCCACAACAAGGGGGAAUUGAUGAAAUUGAAGAAGAUGAAGGAUGGAUAAUUUGGGGCUUUGACUUCUUUGUGAGUUUGAUACUUGGAUUCAUUCUUGGUUUUUGGGGAGUAUGCGGAACCUUAAUACUCAAGCGUUCUUGGAGACAUGCAUACUUCCAAUUUUUAGAAGACAAAAAAGAAAAGCUUUGCACUGCCAUUGUAAUCUAUGGAGCCAAAUUGAAGAGAGGCAUGGGAGUUAGCUAGAUUGAAGUAAAAGGAUCAACUCAUCUUCUUGAGCUGCAGGAAGUACGAAUGAAGGCCAUUGGAGUACCUCCGAUCCAUGUCAUUCUAAAUAAAGUUCAAUCAUGUGCAUGUAUUUGUGUGUUUGUAUUCAUAUUUCAAGUCAUGUAAUUCUAUUUUGUUCUAUAUUGUGUGUAUUGAGGUUCUACAAUUAUUAUAUCAUAGUCUACCUUGUAAGGUGGACUAUUGAAAUAAAGUUCAUUUUAAAUAUAUCGAAGUUUCAUUUUUAA